GCACUCCUCCUUGCACUCCCUGUCAAAGUGUAUAGCAUGCUAGGGCCAUGUUUAGUUACUCCCAACUCCCAACUUUAACACUAUGCAAAAAGAAGAUUCUCCAUCACAUCAAACUUGCGGUACAUGCAUGGAGUACUAAAUGUAGAUGAAAUUAAAAACUAAUUGCACAGUUUUGUUGUACUUUGCGAGACGAAUCUUUUGAGCCUAAUUAGUCAAUAUUUGGACAAUAAUUCACAAAUACAAACGAAACGCUACAGUGUGCUACAGUGCUGUAACAGUAAUUUGGCACCUCCCAAAUUCCCCAACUAAACAAGGCCUAGGAGUAGGAGCUGGAGCACUGCAACCUGCUUGUUAUGGCUCACAGGAAAUUCAGCUCAGCUCAGAGCUCCAGCAGUCUGUCGAAUCCUGGCAUUUCCAGUGAUCUUAAAGAAUGGAGCUUUGGUGCAGAACAGAGAUAUAUAUAGAUAAAAAAAGAAUU
rnacentral:lncRNA from 1 species